rnacentral:rRNA from 1 species
GAUGAACGCUGGCGGCGUGCCUAAUACAUGCAAGUCGAGCGAAUGGAUUAAGAGCUUGCUCUUAUGAAGUUAGCGGCGGACGGGUGAGUAACACGUGGGUAACCUGCCCAUAAGACUGGGAUAACUCCGGGAAACCGGGGCUAAUACCGGAUAAUAUUUUGAACUGCAUGGUUCAAAGUUGAAAGGCGGCUUCGGCUGUCACUUAUGGAUGGACCCGCGUCGCAUUAGCUAGUUGGUGAGGUAACGGCUCACCAAGGCAACGAUGCGUAGCCGGCCUGAGAGGGUGAUCGGCCACACUGGGACUGAGACACGGCCCAGACUCCUACGGGAGGCAGCAGUAGGGAGUCUUCCGCAAUGGACGAAAGUCUGACGGAGCAACGCCGCGUGAGUGAUGAAGGCUUUCGGGUCGUAAAACUCUGUUGUUAGGGAAGAACAAGUGCUAGUUGAAUAAGCUGGCACCUUGACGGUACCUAACCAGAAAGCCACGGCUAACUACGUGCCAGCAGCCGCCGUAA